CUGCGUCCCUCGGGUCCGGGUGUUCGGGCUCUGUGUGAAGGGAGGGGCCGAGGCUGCCCUGCCCGCCCUGGCCUGCCGCCGCGGGGAGGUUCGGCCGAGCAGAAUGGCCAGCAGCCCUGGGAGUAAUGCAGCCCUCGAUCAGAAAGGCACAGACUCAGAAGGCUCUCAAGCAAAGCAGUCUCAGCAUGCAGAAGAAGCUAUCUUUUACAAGAGCUGUCGAGCAGCUUACCUGACUGUUUUCAAAAGCAGUUUAGAAAAUAUUAAAUCGAAAGAACAACUCACUUUGGUUCUUCAACAGGCUGGAAGAAACCCAUCUCAGAAGACAGUUAAUAAAUACUGGACUUCACAAACAACCACGCUGAAUUUUGAUGAUUUUUGUACUAUUUUAAAAGAAGAGACACCAUCUGCAAAAACUGAAUUGCUUGAAGCAUUUGGGAAAAUAGACAGAGAUAACACUGGUUAUAUUUUACAUGAUGAACUUUAUCAACUUCUGACAACAGAAGGUGAAAAAAUGACUUUGGAUGAAGUGAACGCAGUAACUAAAUUACCUGAUUUCAACUGCAAUGGCAAACUGGAUUACAAGAAGUUUUGUGACUUAUAUGUGGCGACCAGUGAGCAGUGCUGCAGGACUGCACUAGAGAAACUGGAGGCUGAUGAUCGAUUGAGGCAUCGGCAGUUUGGAAGUGAAGCUGAAGCUUCCCCUGCAGGGCUCACAGUGCCAGCAUCAAAACCAUCGCUGAAAAUCUCGAGGAAAGCUGACCACACACCAGCACCAACCAAAGGCGAUAGCAGAACUCCUUCAAGACCAGCUCAAAGCUGCAGAGCAUCCAGUUCUUCCACCAUCAGCGUGUGUGCCAGUAGCAACAGAAGCACAAACCUAAUUGAGCCCAACACGAUGAAGGAAUGGCAAUGUGCUCAAUCCAAGGGAUGCUUCUACCUAGAGGAGGAUGGUGAAAUCGUUGCUCAUAAGUACAGGCUGCAUUUACCUCAGAGGUCUGCAGUGUGCAUAACUAUCAAGCCUUUACGCCUUCGUCAAAUAGAAGGAAAAUCUUGUCACUGGUUGUCAGUGGAUACGGUGUUGUAUGUUCUGAAGGAAAAUGAAACCACAGAAAAUCUGCAGCUUGUCUGCUCUACUGACCAGCAAAACAGAGAGAUGUUUGGAUGGAAAGGGGAGCUUCCAUCAGGAGUGUACUGGCUACUCCCAUUCACAACAGGCUGUAGGCUGAAAAAGGCAAAAACACCAAUUACUGGAGAAGCAAAACUGGUGUAUAGAGAUGAAGAUGGUGAACUGGCUCUUACCAAAGAGUUCCGAGCAGCUUUAUUGGAUAUAUUUGAAACAAUUGAUUUGGAUGGAAAUGGCCUUCUGAGUUUGGAGGAAUACAAUUUCUUUGAACUGAGAACUAGUGGUGAGACAUGUGAUGAGGAAGUGUGGGCUAUAUGUAAGGAGAAUUUUGAUAUGAAGAAGAAUGAACUAACAAGACAAGGAUUUAUGGAUCUGAAUCUCAUGGAAGCCAAUGACCGUGAAGGGGAUCCUAGUGACCUUUGGGUCACUUUAUUGUCACUGGGCUACAACAAAGCAUUAGAAAUGACAGAGGCAUGCCCCUUUGUCAUUGACAUCUAUGCAGAAAAAUGCAAACCCAGAAUUAAAGCCAUAUAUCUAGAGGCAGGCAGCUGGCAACUCAACAGGGCUAUCUGCAAGUCUGUUGUUAAUAAUGGAGAUGCCAAAGUAAUGGAUGGCUGUGAAAACAUAAUUGUCUAUACCUGUAGGACUGGCAUGCGAAUCACUUCUGUUAUUGAAAAUAAGUCUGAUAACAAAGUGAUUGUUCAUGUCAACAAUGAGCAGAGUAAGAACUGCCUAAGUAAUAGAGGCCUUGCUGUUUUUGCUGUGGAAGUGGCACCAAAAUCUAUGAUGGUUUCUCAGCACGUGCUGCCACUGAACGAGCAGGAAGAAUGGCUGUAUAAUUGUGUGCAUUCCCUCUUACGCUGAAUGUUGUAGUCAGUGCUGCUUCUUGGCAAUGUUUAAUCACAGCUUCUGCAACACAACUUGUAGGUGUGUCCUCUAAAGCUGGCCUGGUAGAUCUAGCGGGAAUCCACGUGCAAUUCUUAUUGGACUUCAGGAAAGAAACACGUGCCAAGCUGAGUAAUUGCUGCAAAAAGACUUGAAACGUGACCCAGCAAUGGGGAGUGGAACCUCUUCCUUUUCAGAUCUCACUGUUAAGAAGAGUUUCCCCAGCUCUUUGAAGGGGAAUAUAGGCUAGUUCUGUUUUCCGUGGGAAUUUCCAUCUUUUCUGGCCAGGACAGUGGGGAUCCCGGCUGUAUCUGCAGAGUACUUCCAGUUUCCUUCAACUUCAGGUGCUGCCAAGAUUGGCCGUUUGGUCAUCGGGCAGCACGGCAUUCUCUCCACCCCAGCAGUGUCCUGCAUCAUCAGGAAAAUCAAAGCCAUCGGUGGC